rnacentral:siRNA from 1 species
GAAUAUCUAUGAUGCAGAGAUGGU